UUUUAGACAAUGGGCGAAAGCCUGAUCUAGCAAUAUCGCGUGUGUGAAGAAGGCCUGUGGGUUGUAAAACACUUUCAGUAAUGAAAAAGUAAUAUGUACUAAUAUUACAUGUUAUUGAUUAGUUACAUAAGAAGCACCGGCUAACUCUGUGCCAGCAGCCGCGGUAAUACAGAGGGUGCAAGCGUUAAUCGGAAUUAUUGGGCGUAAAGGGUGCGUAGGUGGUUUUGUAAGUUAGAUGUGAAAUGCUUGUGCUUAACAUAAGAAGUGCAUUUAAUACUGCGAUACUAGAGUAUUAUUAUAGGGGAAAGUGGAAUUUCCGGUGUAGUAGUGAAAUGCAUAGAUAUCGGAAGGAACACCAGUAGCGAAGGCGACUUUCUGGGUUAAUACUGACACUGAGGCACGAAA
rnacentral:rRNA from 1 species